rnacentral:rRNA from 1 species
UACGAGGGGUGCAAGCGUUGCUCGGAAUUAUUGGGCGUAAAGGGCAGGCAGGUGGUCUCAUUUGUCUGGGGUGAAAGCCCGGAGCUUAACUCCGGAAGUGCCCCAGAAACGGUGAGACUCGAGUACUGGAGAGGGUCGUGGAAUUCCCGGUGUAGCGGUGAAAUGCGUAGAGAUCGGGAGGAACACCAGAGGCGAAGGCGGCGACCUGGACAGUUACUGACACUCAACUGCGAAAGCGUGGGGAGCAAACAGG